UUACGACAAACUAUUAAACUUCUAAAAUACAUACAAUUUCCUAAUAUGAAAUAUGAAAUUUACGAUUGAAAUAUUCAAAUAUUACACUUAAAUAUUUAUAGUAUUUCUAUAAAUAUAAACGAGAAAUAUACAACAGUAUUACUUUGUGUAAGGAUACAAAAGAAAUUGAAAUCAUUAAUGAACGUGGCAAUAAUCGAUAAUAUUUUAACGAAUUGAACGAAACUAUGGCGAAAAUACACGCGAGAUAUCGUAAUUUUCCAUAUUCGGUAGCAAUUUAAAUGAUGUCUCGUUGAUAUUGAUAUUCCAUUGAUACUUUUAUCGUCUGUUACGUCUGAGAAUUCUUGUGGGAGGAUCCAUGCAAAGAUAUACAUUAUGGAUUCCAAAAUUGGCUUUGACAUAUAGACCAUAAAACACAGAGUUUACAAGCUUGAAAAUAGCCCGGGUUCCCGAGGUUAUUUGAAUACUUAAAAACCAAUCAAUUCUCUUUCUUUCUCUCUUUCUAAAUUUACAAGCCCAUAACUAAUAAAUUUCUUAACACUUACGAAUAGAGAUACAUAGUUCCUACAUUUUCUCCUGUAUGAAGAGCAUCUAACUAUGUGAUAAUACCUGUUACGUUUCGCACAAAUCAUGCAACAGAUGAUUUAUGAGCAACAAAUCCAUGA